rnacentral:rRNA from 1 species
CAAGCUUGCUUGGUGGAUCAGUGGCGAACGGGUGAGUAACACGUGAGCAACCUGCCCUGGACUCUGGGAUAAGCGCUGGAAACGGCGUCUAAUACUGGAUAUGAGCCUCUUCCGCAUGGUGGGGGUUGGAAAGAUUUUUUGGUCUGGGAUGGGCUCGCGGCCUAUCAGCUUGUUGGUGAGGUAAUGGCUCACCAAGGCGUCGACGGGUAGCCGGCCUGAGAGGGUGACCGGCCACACUGGGACUGAGACACGGCCCAGACUCCUACGGGAGGCAGCAGUGGGGAAUAUUGCACAAUGGGCGAAAGCCUGAUGCAGCAACGCCGCGUGAGGGAUGACGGCCUUCGGGUUGUAAACCUCUUUUAGCAGGGAAGAAGCGAAAGUGACGGUACCUGCAGAAAAAGCGCCGGCUAACUACGUGCCAGCAGCCGCGGUAAUACGUAGGGCGCAAGCGUUAUCCGGAAUUAUUGGGCGUAAAGAGCUCGUAGGCGGUUUGUCGCGUCUGCUGUGAAAUCCCGAGGCUCAACCUCGGGCCUGCAGUGGGUACGGGCAGACUAGAGUGCGGUAGGGGAGAUUGGAAUUCCUGGUGUAGCGGUGGAAUGCGCAGAUAUCAGGAGGAACACCGAUGGCGAAGGCAGAUCUCUGGGCCGUAACUGACGCUGAGGAGCGAAAGGGUGGGGAGCAAACAGGCUUAGAUACCCUGGUAGUCCACCCCGUAAACGUUGGGAACUAGUUGUGGGGACCAUUCCACGGUUUCCGUGACGCAGCUAACGCAUUA